rnacentral:rRNA from 1 species
UACGGGGGGGGCAAGCGUUGUUCGGAAUUACUGGGCGUAAAGGGCUCGUAGGCGGCCAACUAAGUCGGACGUGAAAUCCCUCGGCUUAACCGGGGAACUGCGUCCGAUACUGGAUGGCUUGAGUUUGGGAGAGGGAUGCGGAAUUCCAGGUGUAGCGGUGAAAUUCGUAGAUAUUCGGAAGAACACCAGUGGCGAAGGCGACUCACUGGACACGUAUUGACGCUGAGGUGCGAAAGCGUGGGGAGCAAACAGG